GACGAACGCUGGCGGCGUGCCUAAUACAUGCAAGUAGAACGCACAGUUUAUACCGUAGCUUGCUACACCAUAGACUGUGAGUUGCGAACGGGUGAGUAACGCGUAGGUAACCUGCCUGGUAGCGGGGGAUAACUAUUGGAAACGAUAGCUAAUACCGCAUAAUAUUAAUUAUUGCAUGAUAAUUAAUUGAAAGGUGCAAUUGCACCACUACCAGAUGGACCUGCGUUGUAUUAGCUAGUAGGUGAGGUAACGGCUCACCUAGGCGACGAUACAUAGCCGACCUGAGAGGGUGAUCGGCCACACUGGGACUGAGACACGGCCCAGACUCCUACGGGAGGCAGCAGUAGGGAAUCUUCGGCAAUGGACGAAAGUCUGACCGAGCAACGCCGCGUGAGUGAAGAAGGUUUUCGGAUCGUAAAGCUCUGUUGUAAGAGAAGAACGGGUGUGAGAGUGGAAAGUUCACACUGUGACGGUACCUGACCAGAAAGGGACGGCUAACUACGUG
rnacentral:rRNA from 1 species